rnacentral:rRNA from 1 species
GGCAGGCCUAACACAUGCAAGUCGAACGGCAGCACAGUAAGAGCUUGCUCUUAUGGGUGGCGAGUGGCGGACGGGUGAGGAAUACAUCGGAAUCUACCUUUUCGUGGGGGAUAACGUAGGGAAACUUACGCUAAUACCGCAUACGACCUUCGGGUGAAAGCAGGGGACCUUCGGGCCUUGCGCGGAUAGAUGAGCCGAUGCCGGAUUAGCUAGUUGGCGGGGUAAAGGCCCACCAAGGCGACGAUCCGUAGCUGGUCUGAGAGGAUGAUCAGCCACACUGGAACUGAGACACGGUCCAGACUCCUACGGGAGGCAGCAGUGGGGAAUAUUGGACAAUGGGCGCAAGCCUGAUCCAGCCAUACCGCGUGGGUGAAGAAGGCCUUCGGGUUGUAAAGCCCUUUUGUUGGGAAAGAAAAGCAGUCGAUUAAUAUCGGUUGC